UGCCAGCAGCCGCGGUAACACGGGGGGCGCAAGCGUUAUUCGGAAUUAUUGGGCGUAAAGCGCGUGUAGGCGGUUCGUUAAGUUUGAUGUGAAAGCCCAGGGCUCAACCUUGGAACUGCAUUUAAUACUGCCAGACUUGAGAUCGGAAGAGGAAAGCGGAAUUUCUAGUGUAGAGGUGAAAUUCGUAGAUAUUAGAAGGAACAUCAGAGGCGAAGGCGGCUUUCUGGUCCGAUACUGACGCUGAGGUACGAAAGCGUGGGGAGCAAACAGGAUUAGAUA
rnacentral:rRNA from 1 species